rnacentral:lncRNA from 1 species
ACCGGAAAAAGGGCUCUGGCGUGCGCACAUUUAAUGCAAAAAUAUAUGGGGCAGCCGUGCGCGAGAUUCGAGGGGACAACUUCGGCUAUAUCUGUGUACUUCCUUCAUUCGAAAUUCAAACUCAAAAGUAGAGGGUCUGGUGUUGGGUAUAAAAUACCCACAGCCGAAGUUCUCAACAGAAUUGGCUCCGAGAGGACUACGCCCGGACUCCUACGGGAGCCGGGCUCCUCCCACGACUCCAAC